rnacentral:tRNA from 1 species
GUCCUCGUAGCUUAACCAAAGCAUGGCACUGAAGAUGCCAAGACGGUCGCCACCCCGCACCCGAGGACA